GAUGAACGCUGGCGGCGUGCCUAAUACAUGCAAGUCGAGCGAACGGACGAGAAGCUUGCUUCUCUGAUGUUAGCGGCGGACGGGUGAGUAACACGUGGAUAACCUACCUAUAAGACUGGGAUAACUUCGGGAAACCGGAGCUAAUACCGGAUGAUAUUUUGAACCGCAUGGUUCAAAAGUGAAAGACGGUCUUGCUGUCACUAAUAGAGGGAUCCGCGCUGCAUUAGCUAGUUGGUAAGGUAACGGCUUACCAAGGCAACGAUGCAUAGCCGACGGGAGAGGGUGAUCGGCCACACUGGAACUGAGACGCGGACCAGGCUCCUACGGGAGGCAGCAGUAGGGAAUCGUCCGCAAAGGGCGGAAGCCUGACGGAGCAACGCCGCGUGAGUGAUGAAGGUCUUCGGAUCGUAAAACUCUGUUAUUAGGGAAGAACAUAUGUGUAAGUAACUGUGCACAUCUUGACGGUACCUAAUCAGAAAGCCACGGCUAACUACGUG
rnacentral:rRNA from 1 species